CUACUGCUGAAGAGUCCCGAACUAGGACGAAACAGACAGCUGUCCAGUAC
rnacentral:hammerhead_ribozyme from 1 species